UGAAUAUCCAUUCUAUUCUAAAAUAUACAAAAUAUAUUAACCUACAAAGGAGCCCACAUAUUCUGACACAUUCCUCUUAAGACAAAUGAGAGAAUACUUCGGUGAUUGCAGGUUAUCUAGUAAACAUAGAAAUCUGGAUGCACUGACACAAUAUACUGACUGUGGCCAAUAUCUUCAAAUGUGUCCAUCUACUCUAAUGGAACAUGAUUAGCUAUUUUUGAAUGUAUUAUUAUCACGACCACAAAGGACAUUUACAAAGGAGCCAUCUGUUCUCUGUUAAAUGUAGCCCUGACGUCUCCCUUGGAUUAGCAAAGGAAGCCACUAAAUACUUCAGUGGGACUUCAAAAAAACUGAGUUCUCCCUAAGAAUCACUAGGGGAUGAACUUCAAAAGAUUAGAGGUUUCAUUUGGAUCAAGUCCCAGAAAAUCAGGUUAUUUACCAAAUCUUAUUUAUGCAAACUAUACAAACACAUUUUGAUCUGCGGAAUACCAAAAUAAUGUUUUAGAAAAAUGAUAACCUUAAGUGAAAAGUCCACUGUGGAAAAGAAAGAGGAAGGUCAACUUUCUUUGGUUUGAUUAUCUGUCUACAUUAUCAAAUCAGCUGUACAACUAUUACCAGACUUGCUGUCACUUUAUGGUUAUAAAUACAGAAAGAAGUUACCUAAAAAUUUUAUUGAUUAUGUUGAGUAAAAAGAUUAGGGUGUCUUAAACACACACACACACACACACACACACACACACACAGUAUUUUAGCUUCUCCAUGUCUGUUUGGAUUACAAGAUGGUGGAGACUACUAGAAUAUUUUUAGAUAUCGACAAUUUUUGACAUUUUGUCAUCUACAAGGAUUUCUAUUAUAACUUUGGGUUCAUAAGCUCUUUAUAUCAAUUCAUCUGAAUAGAGAAUUCAGAAUAAGACAGAUCUAUCUUGGCACUGUCCAACAUAGGUGGCUGGUAUUGCUCGAGUGCUAAUCACAUUUUGUAUUUAUCUUCUUUACAGAAUAUAUUAGUCAUUUAUUUACAUGUAUCUUUUCUCUUACUACAUUAUUAUUACUCCAAGAACAUGGACUUUCAUAUUCAUCUAUGCAUUUCUACUACCACACAUAAGACUAACAUAAAAUAGAUACCUGGAAUAUAUCUGUUGUUACAUAAAUAAUAAGCAAUUGCUUGAAAAUCAGAUAAACUUCAUCUAUAACAUGAUUUGCAAUUAUGUAGGUUUUAUUAAAAAGGAGCAUAUAUAUCAAAAGUUCUCAAUGAAAUAACAAGUAUCAAUGUCAAAUAUCAUAUAAAAUGCCUCACCUGAGAAUAUUUAUUAUUAUUUGUCAAUUCAAGACACUAUACAUGUCUUUUUGCUUCUAAUUAAGACCUUGAACUUAAAUUUAGAACAUACAGAGUUUUAUGAACUUUUAAAGUUUUUUUUUCUCAGCAAUUCGGGUAGGUUGAUUGUAUUGGAUUCUGUUACUUAUAACUGGAAACAGUUCCCUGAUUUGAACAUAGCUGUCCAGUGAUUUUUCAAUUGGGUAAACAUUUGUGGCUUAUGUUCCUAAGACUGAUCAGGAGAGAAUGCAUGAGGGGAGACUGAUACAUUGUACAGUUACCAGUGUUUACACUGUUUUGUGUUUUCCAGAUCCAUGUGGUACUUCUUAAAAGGAUAUACAUCUGGGACUGCAAAAGCUCUUCAGCUGCUGGCAGCAUCCGAAUAACAGUUCAUUUAGUAUAUAUCUGAGCAUUUCUGAAUAUUUAAAUCAAAACUGUGACUAAAUUUGAGCCAAUUGGAUUCCUUUCAUAAUUUAAAAAUAUUAUCUAGCCAUCCACAUAAGAAAAAAAAGCCCACAAAAAUAAUUUGUAAAAUUUCCAGCCUGUUCAUAAACUUAAGAGAAUGUGGGCCAAGUCACAAUACUGGAUAUGGUGGAGACUUAAAACCAGACAACUAUCUUCUUUGCGUACAGUAUUACCAAAUAAUUGGCUUGAAAAUGUUACCUAACUAAACAAAUUAACUGAAUCAAGCAGUUGUUUUUGGCUGGAGUAACAUUCGGUAAACAGAAUAUCCAGAGCCUCUUCUUUAAGCACCACUAGCAGGCACUGUGAGAGCAUUUUCAUUCCAGUUUGUUCGACUUGGGUAAACCGGGAACAGAGGCUUACAUCAACGGAGGAUCAGUGAACACAAUCUCAUAGCAACAGACACCAAAACAGUCCCUCAUUACAAGCCUUGUCCAACAAUCAAGUCUUUAACGAGAACAAAGGUUGACAGUGAUUAAUCAUUAAGCAGUUCCUUGUUCCUUGAUGCACGUGUUCUCAGCAGCCUCCUGCAGAGGCAGUCUGGCAUAUUUCCUGUCCCUGUGCUCCACUGUGCCAUGUCUGAAGGGACACCCAGGCAGCCUUCUCACUAUUUUAAUUUCAAAUGCUACAAACAUCUACAGAGUUUCUAUGUGCACGUGUCUUGACUUUUAUUCUGAGCCUGGCAGACUCUGAAUGGAUAUAGGGAGUGAGAACAUAAUAAGCCGUUAACUCCGCAUCUGCUUACUAGAUUAUGUUCAAAGACCGUAUAAGAAAUUGAUUAAACACUGUUUUCUAGAAUAAA